UCCGCUGUCCCGGUACACAGGCGUUCGUUCCGAGCGCUACUCCGGUUCUCGCGUACGCGUACGUGUGAUUUUGUCGGUGCUCUUUUCGGGGACGAUCCUUCGGCGGCUUGGCGCUUCGAGGGGCGCGAAAGUGGCGUGAAAAUCUGUGCGACAGAUCUCACACACCUCGGAUUACUGCAUCAGAUCGGUGCUUUCGCGGAUGCUUCGUGCUACUGGUGGUGUAACUGAAUGCUUAAGUGAACGUCUCACCCCCGAUUGGAGAAUGCACCCCUCGGGAGCAGGUGCUUGUGGAAAGUGGCCACAUUUGCACCUCCUGACGGUUUGAAAAUUUCCCACCCGGCGGAAUCGGAAGUGUGAGUGUGCGUGUGUGUGUGCUCUGCGGAAGUGUGUGAAGUUGUAAGUGAAGCGGGAAGAGAAAGAAAAAAAUAAAUUCGUGGAGGUUUUCAAAACGCAUUAUCGCGAUCCUCGUACGCGCAGUGACGAAGCCCUCGACCGUGCCUACGGCAAACAUAUUUAUCAGCCCUUCGCGGCUGGCGUGCAAGUUGAGAUCGUUGUGUGUGGUGCAUGAAAGUGCCUACUUGGAUGCGUUUGAAAGUGCUGUUAGUGCGGUCGCUCGCUCGACAAGUGAAGAAAUACUACAUGCGAUAAUAAGGUCAACGCGGCUCGAUAACGCGUUGAGUUGCAGCAAUUAAAGCCACAACCCAAAGUUACAACAAUAUUGUUAACCCGAUUAGGCGCGUGUGUUUGAGAGGUGAAAUUAAUCGUGCCACUUUAGCAGAAACGCUUGCCAAAUGAUCUGCGGUGUAACCGAUCUGCUUGACGCCUGCUUUGACCUAAGAAAUGACCGGAUGUGACACCAUCGCGUACGCAAACAACACGCCAAACAUCGGCACCAACCGGGCGCGGAAGGAUACGCCGUCGGGUAAUUGAUCGCC